GCUUUUCUAUCAAAUGGUUGCAGCUUUUUUCUUGUAAACAGCCUUGGUUAAUGCUUUCUCUAUCGUUUCGGGUUGAACCUUUUUUAUCAAGGGUUGUAGCAUUUUAUGUCGACGGUUGUAGCACUCCGCCAUGGCAAUGACUGCUUGCAGCUUUUGAUGUAUCUGGUUGAAGCUUUUUUCAUCUACGGUCGAAGCUUUUCUAUCAAAUGGUUGCAGCUUUUUUCUUUGUAGCAGCCUUGGUUAAUGCUUUCUCUAUCGUUUCAGGUUGAAGCUUUUUCAUCAAGGGUUGUAGCAUUUUAUGUCGACGGUUGUAGCACUCCGCCAUGGCAAUGACUGCUUGCAGCUUUUGAUGUAUCUGGUUGAAGCUUUUUUCAUCUUGGUUUGAAGCAUUUUGGUUAAACGGUUGUAGCAUGAGGGC
rnacentral:lncRNA from 1 species